rnacentral:lncRNA from 1 species
CAGCCCUAUAGGAGACACCUCCAGAGAAAGUAACAACUCUCAGUUGAUUAGCUGAGGUAUGUAUGUCAUUUAUGGCAAUACCUGUCUCCAUCCCCUCCGUCUUCUUCUAGGAGACCAAUUUUGUAAAUUGCUACUUUUCUAACAACAGUGGCACAGGUGGCCCAGCAUUCUCCCUUUUCUCAGAGCUGGUUUUCCAUCCUGGAAAGAGGUCUUACAUAUACAAAGUUACUCUAAUCAGUUGUAAGCUUCAGGGGCUGGAUCCUGACAUGAACCAGGCACCUCCAGAAUUCUAUCCCAAGCAAAAGAUUACUUCAAGGCCAGAACUCACUCCCUGCUGGAGACUGACUACAAGAUCCACUGAGAUUGACUUGUAACCUGAUUGGGCCCACAGUGAUGCUAGCCCCUUCACCAGAUGGAACAAUAAUUCCAGACAAGCCAUCAGAGCAGAGAGCAGAGAAGAGGAGAAGCAGCUGGACGUCUCUUGACGUUGGAGAAAAGCAGCUUGACUUCAGAGGGACAGUUUGACAGCAUGGAUUCAGAAAGGAGAAGAUCACCUUCCUGCUCCAUCCCCUUUCCAGCUCCCCUUCCCACUGAGAGCCACUUACACUGGCAAUAAAAUCCUCUGCAUUCACCACCCUU